rnacentral:rRNA from 1 species
GAUGAACGCUGGCGGCGUGCCUAAUACAUGCAAGUCGAGCGAACAGACGAGGAGCUUGCUCCUCUCACGUUAGCGGCGGACGGGUGAGUAACACGUGGAUAACCUACCUAUAAGACUGGGAUAACUUCGGGAAACCGGAGCUAAUACCGGAUAAUAUAUUGAACCGCAUGGUUCAAUAGUGAAAGACGGUUUUGCUGUCACUUAUAGGUGGAUCCGCGCCUGAUUAGCUAGUUGGGAAGUUAACUGCUUACGAAGGCAACGAUGCGUAGACGAACUGAGAGGGUGAUCGGCCACACUGGAACGGGGCCACGGUCCAGGCUCCUACGGGAGGGAGCAGUAGGGAAUCUUCCGCAAUGGGGGAAAGCAUGACGGAGCAACGCCGCGUGAGUUAUGACGGUCUUCGGAUCGUAAAACUCUGUUAUUAGGGAAGAACAAAUGUGUAAGUAACUAUGCACGUCUUGACGGUACCUAAUCAGAAAGCAACGGCUAACUACGUG